GGGUAGGGAGGAGCAUGGCCUCCUCCUCUCCCCAUUAUGGCUUGUGCUUGACUAUAGAUAUCAGUGUACUCCGAAAAAGAGGAGUCAUCUGGCAAAAACAUCACUUUGCCUGCUGUCUUCAAGGUUCCCAUUAGAUCAGAAAUUGUGAAUUUUGUUCAUACCAACUUGUGUAAAAACAACAAACAAUCUUAUGUCAUCAGUGAUUUAGGAGGUCAUCAGACCAUCAGACCAGUGCUGAGUCUUGGGGUAUUGGCAGAGCUGUGGCUAGAGUUCUCAGAGUUCGAGGUGGUAGGACUCACCAUUCUGGCCAGGGUGCUUUUGGAAAUAUGUGUCAUGGAGGCUGCAUGUUUGCACCAACCAAAACCUGGUGUCACUGGCACCAUAGAGUGAACACAACCUAAAAGCUAUAUGCCAUCUGCCCUGCCCUGGCCACCUCAGUCUUACCGGUGCUGGUCACAUCUAAAGAUCGUCAUAUUGAGGAAGAUCCUGAACUUUCUUUGGUGGUUAAAGAUAAAGUUGAAGGCUCUGUGAAGACCAAGGAGGCUGUUUUACUUCUCAAGAAACUUGAGGGCUGGAAUGACGUCUAUGCCUCUCAGGGAGCGAGGGCUGGUAAGGGCAAAUGAGAAACCGUCGUGGUAUCCAGCACAGUAGACCCUGCACCAUCUAUAAUGAAGAUGGUGUAUCAUCAAGGCUUUCAGGAACAUCCUUGGAAUUACUCUGCUUAAUGCAAACUGGAUGAACAUUUUUGAAACUUGCUUCUGGUGGGCAUGUGGGACUUUUCUGCAUUUGGAUUGAAAGUGCUUUGUGGAAGUUAGAUGAAUUGCAAAGCACUUGGCAUAAUGCUGCUUCUCUCAGGAGUAACUACAACGUUCCCAAGCACAAGGUGAUGAGUGCAGGCCUUAGCAGAAUCUUGGAAACCCCAGAGAUCCAAAGAGCUCUUCGAGCACCACACAAAAAGAUACACGGCAGAGCCCUGAAGAAGAAUCCAUUGAAAAACCCGAGAAUCAUGUUGAAGCUAAACCCGUAUGCAAAGACCAUGUGCCAGAAUACCAUUCUUCUCCAGGCCAGGAAUCCCACACGUUCGCGGAUAGGGCAGCUGCAGCACCCUAGGCCACGUCGGACAAGAAGGGGGUUGCAGGCAAGAAGCCUGAAGCAGUGAAGACGGGGAAAGCCUGUUGGUGUAAAGCAGAAAAAGCCUCUGGUGGGAAAAAAGGCUGCCUCUACCAAGAAACCAGCAGCUGAAAAGAAGCCAGCCGAAAAGAAAUCUACCACAGAGGAAAAGAAGCCUGCUCCAUAAACUCUUACAUUUGUUUACUGCAUAAAGGUCAAAUCAUUUUGGACAGCUUGUUUUGAAAAAAGACCUGAUCAAAGAGAAAAAAAAAAAAAAAGACAAAAAAAAAAA